rnacentral:piRNA from 1 species
UGGGAUUAAUGUUGUGUGCCACCACUGCC